rnacentral:piRNA from 1 species
UACGUCAUAAAGGACAGUGGCCAUAUC